rnacentral:rRNA from 1 species
UACGUAGGUGGCAAGCGUUGUCCGGAAUUAUUGGGCGUAAAGCGCGCGCAGGCGGCUUUUUAAGUCCAUCUUAAAAGCGUGGGGCUCAACCCCAUGAUGGGAUGGAAACUGGAGAGCUGGAGUAUCGGAGAGGAAAGCGGAAUUCCUAGUGUAGCGGUGAAAUGCGUAGAGAUUAGGAAGAACACCGGUGGCGAAGGCGGCUUUCUGGACGACAACUGACGCUGAGGCGCGAAAGCGUGGGGAGCAAACAGG